rnacentral:rRNA from 1 species
AUGGCUCAGGAUGAACGCUGGCGGCGUGCUUAACACAUGCAAGUCGAGCGAAGCUGUUUCAUGAAGUCCUCGGAUGGAGUGGAAACGGACUGAGCGGCGGACGGGUGAGUAACGCGUGGGUAACCUGCCUCAUACAGGGGGAUAACAGUUGGAAACGACUGCUAAUACCGCAUAAGCGCACAGUGCCGCAUGGUACGGUGUGAAAAACUCCGGUGGUAUGAGAUGGACCCGCGUCUGAUUAGGUAGUUGGUGAGGUAAUGGCCCACCAAGCCGACGAUCAGUAGCCGACCUGAGAGGGUGACCGGCCACAUUGGGACUGAGACACGGCCCAAACUCCUACGGGAGGCAGCAGUGGGGAAUAUUGGACAAUGGGGGAAACCCUGAUCCCAGCGACGCCGCGUGAGUGAAGAAGUGUUUCGGCAUGUAAAGCUCUAUCAGCAGGGAAGAAAAUGACGGUACCUGACUAAGAAGCCCCGGCUAACUACGUGCCAGCAGCGGC